rnacentral:rRNA from 1 species
GCAUAUCAAUAAGCGGAGGAAAAGAAACCAACAGGGAUUGCCCUAGUAACGGCGAGUGAAGCGGCAACAGCUCAAAUUUGAAAUCUGGCUUCGGCCCGAGUUGUAAUUUGCAGAGGAAGCUUUAGGCGCGGCACCUUCUGAGUCCCCUGGAACGGGGCGCCAUAGAGGGUGAGAGCCCCGUAUAGUUGGAUGCCUAGCCUGUGUAAAGCUCCUUCGACGAGUCGAGUAGUUUGGGAAUGCUGCUCAAAAUGGGAGGUAAAUUUCUUCUAAAGCUAAAUACCGGCCAGAGACCGAUAGCGCACAAGUAGAGUGAUCGAAAGAUGAAAAGCACUUUGAAAAGAGGGUUAAAUAGCACGUGAAAUUGUUGAAAGGGAAGCGCUUGUGACCAGACUUGCGCCGGGCAGAUCAUCCGGUGUUCUCACCGGUGCACUCUGCCCGGCUCAGGCCAGCAUCGGUUCUCGCGGGGGGAUAAAGGCCCUGGGAACGUAGCUCCUCCGGGAGUGUUAUAGCCCGGGGCGUAAUGCCUUCGCGGGGACCGAGGUUCGCGCAUCUGCAAGGAUG